AAUGUACAGGUGUUAAUAUCGCCUGUAUUUGACGGUACCAUCAAAGGAAGUCUCGGCUAACUACGUGCCAGCAGCCGCGGUAAAACGUAGGAGGCGAACGUUAUCCGGAUUUACUGGGCGUAAAGCGCGUGUAGGUGGUUUGGUAAGUAGGGCGUGAAAGCUCCUGGCUCAACUGGGAGAGGUCGUUCUAAACUGCCGAACUAGAGGAUGGUAGAGGGAGGUGGAAUUCCGGGUGUAGCGGUGGAAUGCGCAGAUAUCCGGAGGAACACCAGUGGCGAAAGCGGCCUCCUGGACCACUCCUGACACUCAGACGCGAAAGCUAGGGUAGCAAACGGGAUUAGAGACCCCGGUAGUCCUAGCCGUAAACGAUGUAGACUUGGCGUCGGUGGUUUAAUAUCCAUCGGUGUCGAAGCUAACGCGAUAAGUCUACCGCCUGGGGACUACGGCCGCAAGGUUAAAACUCAAAGGAAUUGACGG
rnacentral:rRNA from 1 species